UCCUACUGGUCUGUGUGAAUAUUGUCUAGAGGAGGAAUCAGUGGAGCAUGUGUUAUGUCAUUGCCGAAAGUAUAAUACAGAAAGAGAAAUAUUGAGAAGGACACCACAGGACACAUUAACUGUUGAGCAAAUACUUGGACAAUCAGGAGGUUAUCAUUCUUUAAUUAUGUUUUUGAAGGAAACUGGCUUAAUAAACAGAAUUUAAAUUAUCUCAUUAAAGGAAAUUAAUUAUCUGAUGUUGUAUUAAUAUUAUAAUUAUUAUUGUUAGUCAUUUGUAUUAAAUAUAUAUGUAGUUUUUUAUUUUUUAUUUUUAUUAUUAUUAUUAUUUUUUUUUUUUUUAUUAGUUUGGGUAGAUACUCUAGUUCACACUCCAGCAUAGUAGGUGGCGGUAUUGCACCUUAACGUUGGAUGCCACCCGCCAUAAAACAUAAGAAGAAGAAGAAGAAGAAGAAGAAGUUACCAUGGAAACGAGGCUACUAGGAACAACAGAAAGCGGCAAAGCUCCGUGUUUCUUAUGGUUUUCUUCACAUUUUCAGGAGUGACAAAAUAACCCCUCUAUAAUAAAAAAGAAGCUCAAGAUUUCAGCAUUUUGGAAGGGAGCUGCUGACAGAGAUGUUGAAAACUCAGAUUUGUCCAUGCUGAUGGCCAUGCACCAGAGUUCAAGCAAACCUUUCAGAAAACAUCUCUAAGGGGCUAUGUAUGAACCAUAUGGCUAGUAAGUAAGACCUCAAACUUAAACACUACUGUUCAAAAGGCUGUGAUUUAUUUAUUUGACAAAAAUACAGUGAAAACAGAAAUGUUGUGAAAUUAUCACAAUUUAGAUGAGCUGUUUUGUUUGUGAAUAUGUAGUUAAGUAUAAUUUCUGUGAUGCAAAACAGAAUCUUUACUCUCACUUAUAACAAACAGAAGUGCAACUUACCAUUUUAAGGUAACACUAAAAUAACACUAAACUAUUUCUUAACACAACAAUCAACUUUGAUAAUAAUUAGAAAUGUUUCUUGAGCAGCAAAUCAUCAUAUUAGAAUGAACUUUGAUUGAUGAUGAGACACUGAAGACUGGAGUAAUGAUGCUGAAAAUUCAACAUUAAUCACAGGAAUAAAUUACAACUUACAAUAUAUUCAUAUAAUAAAAGACGUAAAAAAAUCUGAACCUAAACCUUUGAAUGGUAUUGUAAAUUAUAGUUAUGAUGGCUUGUUCCUCCAAAUUAAAGGCUCAAAAGAGGAUGUUUCCGCCGACUGAGAAUCCAAAGACCGUUACUGAGUUUUUUAAAUAAGCGCAUGCAUAAGAACAGCCUCCCUCCUUCACAGCUCAUUUCUAGGGAACGCCUUCCAAAACUCGUGCACGAGUAUUUGAACACGAGUGUUUGUUUACCACUAGCAUAUGCUGUGUCGCGUCAGUGGAUUCAUUAUGUGAAAUUAUAUGAUAAUAAACACAUAAGAUGUAAAGUUAGAUCAAUCGACGCUACUCCCAUUUCAACUAGCAUGUAGCGGACUGGUCACUUACAACUACAGUACAAGAACAACGUCGAUAUACCUGAAUAACAAUACAACAAUAAUUAUUCCACAAAGAAAGAAUAAUCACAGUUACCUGUCGAAAAGAAUUUUUGCGACAUGUGCAUCUGUCUUGACACCUCUCUGUUCCUUCAUUGCUCUCCAGCGUUGAAAUGUUUCUCCAUUAACGACUCUGGUUUGUUUACGUUAUUCUGACAAUUUUCUCCUCUUCUCAGCGACUUAAAAACUCUUUCUUUUAUGUCCUCCUUCGGGUUUCUUCUCUUCCAUGGUGCAAAUUCGAGGAGGAAAGCAGGAGCGACAAUGAAAACAAACCGAAACUAAAGACGGAGUUUCAUGUGUAAAGUUACUGGAGCGUGCACGUUUCACACAAGGAACGUAAAUGGCAGUGAUUGACAAGCCAGAGGGCCAAUCGUUGACGCGAUGAUUGCAUCAACGAUUGGCUGAUGUUUUUAAGGCCCUACCUUAUGCACAGAUGACAUAUAUUAAUUUUAUUACUUUCAGUGCGCCUAAUAAAUAGCCUUUUAUCAUUUAGUAAAGACAUUUUUAAGUAAUAUUGCAAAAAUGUAUUAAACAAACAUCCUCUUUUCCACCUUUAAUGAUACUAUUGCAUAUGUAGUUUGUUCCAUAUAGAGCAGGGCUAGUCAACUGGCGGCCCGCGGGCCAAGUGCGGCCCGCCAAUCAUCUUUAUCCGGCCCGCCGGUCACCUUUGGCCGUUUCUCAAUCGGAAGGCUGCAGCCUCCGGAGGUCGCAUAUGCAAACUGCAUAUGUCAUCAAGUUUAAGUUAACUGAGCAUUACAUUCACAAAUCAUAAGCAUAUUACAACAAUUUACGAUUAACUAAGAAUAAUAGUCAACUUUAUAAUUGUUAAAAUUCUGAAAUAAGACUUAAUGACGUAUGCAGCCUGGAAAUGCGACCUCCGAGGC